GACGACGGCUGUACUUCUGCCGACGAUUGAAUAGGAUCUCUGCUGCUCCUAAUCCAAACAGAGUUGGAAACUGAAGAAAGCGAGCCCAAAAUCUCCAUCAGUUGCGCGAACGCUCCACCGCCACUCACUCACCCACCCAUGCCGGCAACUCUCUUUCGUUUCCCCUCCCACUCGUACCUCACCAUCUCAUUCUCAUUAAACCCGAAACCUCCCCAAAUCCCCAAACACACUCCCUCCUCCAACCCCACAAUCGCCAACAACCCAGACUGCUCUCUCUCUUUGAAGCAACCUCUUUCGCAAUCCGAUGCCGCUGUUAAGAUGCCCACAGCUCCGUGGAUGAAUGGCCCCCUUCUUCUCCCACCCCAUGAGGUUCUUGACCUCUCCAAACGCAACAGCAAAAAGAACUUAAACAAUGCCAGAGUCGAAAAGUCCGAUAAAGCGCUGACUGAGAAAGUUGGCGUGAGAGGUGAAAGAGCGGUGAACAAGAUCGUCAGGAGCAUCGAAAAGCUUCGAAUGAACGACGAUUCAGAUGAAACCCAGAAGGAUUCAGGUAAAUCUGGAUUUGGGGAUUGCUUAGAACAACUUGGGGAAGAUGACGGGUCGAGAUACGGAAGGAAAAUGCCUUGGGAGAGGGACGUGGGGUUCGCUCUUCGGAGAAUGAAGAAGGAAAAAGCAGUGACUGAGGCGGAAUUGAGGCUUGACAAGGCGUUGCUUGAGAGGCUGAGGGAUGAGGCCGCUAAGAUGAGGCGAUGGGUGAAGGUUAAGAAAGCCGGGGUGACUCAGGGUGUAGUUGAUGAUAUUAGAACGAUUUGGAGGAGGAAUGAGCUUGCCAUGUUGAAAUUUGAUAUCCCUUUGUGCAAGAAUUUGGAUAGAGCUCGAGAAAUCGUCGAGAUCAAGACUGGAGGCUUGGUUGUUUGGAGUAAAAAAGAUACUCUUGUUGUCUAUCGAGGGUGCAGUUAUCAGCUGACUUCAAAGAACAUUUUAAAGACACGUGCUAGGCUUGCUGGCAGUCAAGCAGCACCUUAUUAUGAAACUAGUCUGCCGAAGUGGGAAAGAAACUAUGAAAUUUCUCUAACUCACUCCAAUGAAAAUGGUGUAGAUGAAAAGAUGCGUAGAAGUGAAAGUGAGGGGGCAAAUUUGCCGCCAGGAAUCUCUUCAAAACGGGAUUUGAAUCACCAACCAGUGAGUGGAUCACUUUAUGUGAGAGAAACAGAGAGAUUAUUAGAUGGCUUGGGACCUCGUUUCCUUGAUUGGUGGAUGGACAAGCCUUUGCCCGUAGAUGCAGAUUUACUUCCUGAAGUGGUUCCUGGAUAUAGGCCUCCAUUUAGACUUUGUCCACCUCGUGCCAGAGCAAAGCUGACAAAUGACGAAUUGACGUACUUGAGGAAGCUUGCUCACCCUUUACCUACUCAUUUUGUUCUUGGGAAAAACCGAAAACUUCAAGGCUUAUCUGCAUCCAUCUUAAAACUGUGGGAGAAAAGUCUUAUUGUGAAGAUUUCUCUAAAGUGGGGAGUCCCGAUUAUGAACAAUGAGGAAGUGGCAUUGGAACUCAAGCAUCUUACAGGCGGAGUUCUUUUGCUGCGUAAUAAGUUUCUAAUAAUACUUUAUAGAGGCAAGGAUUUCCUUCCCUGUAGAGUUGCAAAUUUAAUAGCCGAAAGAGAAACUGAGCUAAAAAAAUACCAACUUUAUGAAGAAGGUGCACGGGUGAAAGCAAUUGAAGCUGUCUGUAUGGAUAAUGGAUCAAUAGAAAACACUAGCUCAUCCGGCACUUUAUCAGAAUCCAAGUAUAUCCAAACUGAGUUCAGUGACCUGGAAAAAGGAAAUACAGAGGUUGAUAUCAAAUUGGAAGCCGAAAAACAAAGAUUGGAGAGGGAACUAAGAGAGCAAGAGCAAAAACUUUUCAUUCUAAACAUAAAGAUAGAUAAGUCAAUGAAGGAAUUGUCAAAGUUGACUGGUGGAUGGGCACCUACUGAGAUGGAUGCUGACCGAGAAAUGAUAACUGCGGAGGAGAGAGAAUGUUACCAGAAGAUAGGACUCAAGAUGGAUAGAUGUUUAGAGCUGGGCAGGCGUGGGGUCUUUGAUGGUGUAAUAGAGGGCCUGCAUCAGCACUGGAAGUACAGAGAAGUAGUCAAGGUGAUCACAAAGCAGAGAUUGUUUCAUCAAGUCGUUUAUACUGCUAAAUUCCUGGAAGCAGAAAGCGGAGGAGUUCUAGUUUCAGUAAAAAAGCUAAAAGAAGGUCAUGCUAUAAUUCUUUACCGUGGGAAGAACUACAGAAGGCCCCUAAAACGGGUGCCCGAGAAUCUUCUAACUAAGAGAGAAGCAUUACAUAAAUCCCUUGAGAUGCAGAGAAUCGGGUCGUUGAAGUUUUUUGCUUAUCAAAGACAGCAGGCAAUCAUGGAUUUGAAAUGCAAAUUGGAAGAUCUGUAGCAAAGCAAGUCUAUUUAUCAAAGCGACUGAAGUUUAGCAUGCCAUGGUUCCUCUUACACGUUCAGUUUAUUUGAGGAAUGAAGGAUGUAAAUAUCGCAUGCAAGGGGAAUUCUGCAUCUGCUGGGCUUCAUUAGUUUGCAAAUGUAAGGGUGGCUUAAACAUGCUGGCGUGCAGGAAACUAGAAGAGAAACGAUGGGUAGUAGAUCAGACAAUCAAAUAAGUCAUUCAAAGUUCUCCAUCCCAUCUCCUUCCAAUGUCGCGUGAGGGAUUGCAUUCCUCAUAUAAAACUUCUACUAAAUUUUCAGUGUGAUGGUAGAGCCUCAGCACUGUCGUUGAAAGGACUUGCAGAGGGGAAAAGGCUUGUGUGGAACUAGAGUAACUUCAUGACUCCAGAGUCUCUGUAAUAUAUCGACCAUCUUAUUCAUGAAAGACCAGUUUGCCAGAUUUUGGGACUGAUGGUUUGGUCUGAGAGAACUUCGGCCCAAAUCCUGUAAACCCCGAUAAUUUUCUAGGAAUUAUUUACCUGAAUGUUUACAGCAAUUAUUUAUCAUACCAGUAUGGAAGUAUAAUUUGUUUU